AACACUUCCUCUAUUCUCUAUAACUUCCUCCAUGGCCGACUGUUCUUCAACAUUCGUCUUCUUUAAUUCCUAAUCUCCACAGAUUUUCACAAAUUUUCUACUAUCACGAAAUGUAUCUCGACCCAUUCACCACCAGAGCUACCUCCACAGCCUAAUCUCCCACCUCACCGAUUGACUAUGGACUAAUUUUCCAUAAAAAUAUGUCGAAGGUGCCUUCGGAAUUUAGGUUUUACAUAACCUUUGACAUAUUUCUAUGGAAAAUUAGCCCAUGGCCUAUGGACUUUGAAAUUUUACAUGACCCUGGGGAUUUGUAUGGUGCGAUCGGUGGCAGUCGAGAUACAUUUUCUGAUAGCAGGAAUUGUUGGUAAUUCGAAAAUGACUGCGGAUCUCAGUAUUCCUAUUAAUGCUAGGCAAUUCAUCGCGUUCACUACCACUAAUAUGUGAAGCGGCAGUUGCAGCAGCAGAUUCGAUCAAUUACCUGAACUUGAUUGAAGUUUUGCAUUAUUACGCCGGAUUGGAAUGGUGGGCAUCAAUUGCUGCUACAACUCUUUUGAUGCGUUUCAUUCUUGUUCCUUUUCAAAUAUAGUGCCUGCAAUUCUGAUCCAAAAAUUACACAACUGUAAGUUCUCUACCCGAUUUUGCCUAUGCACAUUUUGGAUUUCAUAUAUACAGAUUGCAUCAUUACUUUCAAUAACAGUUUAAAUUGGAGGAAAUGUUCGUCGCACAUAUUUGUAGAUAAUGAAUUGCUUAAAUGUAUGCUAAAAAUUAUCUUUUUAGACGAUUUGUUAUCAUAUUCAAUGCAAUACUGAAAAUAUCAUUGAGAAAAUUAUUGUGAAUAAAGUUUGUUAAAAUAUGUAUUAAAUUUACAAAAAGUCAAAUAUCAGGGCGAUCUUGAGUUGUUUGUCGCAACAGAUUAUUAUUAUUAUUAUUUAUUUUUUUCCCAUUUAGGCUUAUUGCAUGUCAUUGUGAUAAAUAAAUUCGAUUUUUCAAAUCUUUGAACUAAUGUCAAUGCAUAAAGGUGUAUACGCCCCAUAUCUCUUAGGCCUCCAAUAAAUGUUGCGGGAAAAACAAAUCUCUUGAGUCUUGCCAAUUUCAUUCUCUAUCAAUUCUCCUUUGAAAAUUCCCUCAAAAAAAGAAAAAAAAACAACAACAACAACAGAAAGAAAUCUCCUUUGAAAACACUAUCAACAACUCUUUGAUAUAAUUCUGCCUCAUACUUGAUUGGUUAAAGUGAUAAAAAUCUAGCCUUGUCGUCUCUAAUUUUAUAUACAUAUCAUCAACAAAUUAUUGUAACAUUAUUCCUGCUAAUAAAAGUAUGGAUUCUUUUGUAUUUAUGAUUGCUUAUAGCAAAUAUAUUCUUGUCAUAUACAUUCUUAUUAUUUUGCUUUAUUAAAUCAAAAAGAGUUGAAGUGAGAAGAUAAUGUCUGGUAGAUCAAAGGAAAAGACUACAUUUUUCAAUAUUCUCAUAUAUAUGGAGCAUCGAAAUUUGUGGCAAUAUUAAGUUGUUAAUUCGGAUUAAUUUAUUCAAAAUGGUAGCAAGUACUAUAAGUUUAAGGAUUAAUUUAUUCAAAAUGGUGGCAAACAACUUUAAUUAUUUUUCAACUAUUCUUAUCUUUACUUUUUUACUCAUGUUAUUAUUGUUUAAUACUUAAUAAUAAAUAAACACAUUAACAUGUAGAGUGAAUUUUUAAAAUGGCCACUUUUAUAUUGUAAAAAUAAAAAAUGUCCACUAAAAUAAAAAACUUAAAAAAUAUCCACUGUUACCAAAAUACCCUUCACAUUAAAAAUUAAAAAAAUGUCCACUUUACAUCACCCCUUUAAAAAAUCCCGCAAUUCACAACCAGCGUGAAUUCACAACCAAAAUUUUUUGGUUGUGAAUUCACACUGGUUGUGAAUUGUGAAUUCACAACCAAUCGAAUUCACAACCAGAAUUUUUUGUUUGUGAAUUCACAACCAGUCGAAUUCACAACCAGAAUUUUUUUAGUGUGAAUUCACAACUAGUCAAAUUCACAACCAAAAUUUAAUUCACAAUUAGAAUUUAUUUUGGUUGUGAAUUCGAGUUUUAGUUGUGAAUUCAUAGAUCUGGUUGUGAAUUCAAGAAUAUUAAGUUGUGAAUUCAUCGAAUUGGUUGUGAAUUCAAGAAUAUUAAGUUGUGAAUUCAUCGAGUUGAUUGUGAAUUCAUCGAGCUGGUUGUGAAUUCAAGAACAUUAAGUUGUGAAUUCAUAAAUCUGAUUGUGAAUUUACAAAUAUUAAGCUGUAAAUUUAUAGAUUCGCGAAUUCAUAGAUCUAACUUCAAAUAAAAAGAAUAAAUCAACCAUAACUGUUCUUGGUAACUCUUCUUGGCGAACCAGAUCCAAAUUCAGGCGAAUAUCAGGCAAUGAAAUAAUUAGCAUAAGCACCUUCAAUUUAAACUUUAGAUAAAAGAAUCAAAAUUAAACAAGUUGCUGUAGAGAAUGGAAAAAUCAAAUACAUACUUACAAAUUAAUGUAGUAAAAUAAACUCUCAUAGAUAUGCGUGAACCACAAAUCUUAAAUUUGCAAUUCUAGGAAAACGUGUUGUUUUUAAUCAAAACAAAUCUUCAACAUUUGAAUUCGUCAAAUGUUUUUCUCAAAAAUCGAGAACUAAUUGAAAAGCAAAAUAAAGAAAAAGAAUGAGUAUGGCGGCAGCUGCAUUUUUUUUCUCCGCGGCACAGAGGAUGCGCUGAUGUAGGCGAACGGAGAGGGAGGCUUCCGAAGGCGUGUCGAACCAGGGAGGCGGCGCGACGGAGUCAAAGGUGCCGAGCCAGAAGCGCGUCUUCUUCCCCGGCGAGUCAGCAGUGGCGGAGCAACGCUGCCGCGUGCGCGUCUCCCUCCGUCUCAGAACAGCAGCGUUGCGGUGGUGGUGGGCGGCGACUGUGGAGCGGCGGCGAGGACGAGAAGGAGAGGAAGAGGAAGAGGGGGGGAGAGAGAGAGAGAGAGAGAGAGAGAGAGAGAGAGAGACAGACAGACAGACGUGAAGGUGAAGAGAGAGAGGAGAGAAAGAGAGAAAUGGGUGGCCAUUUUUUUAAAUUUUAAAGUAAGGGGUAUUUCUGUCUUUUCAAUAAAAAAGUGGACAGUUUUUAUUAUUUUUAUCUUAGUGGACAAUUUUAAUCUUUACAA